rnacentral:lncRNA from 1 species
CAAGGAGUCAUCCAAGCGUGGAUCUUUCACUGCACUAUCUUGUUCACUUGGUCAAAUCUUGAUGCAACUGCAUACAGGUAGGAGAGUUACUAACAUUUCAGAUUCCACUACCGCAAUAUCUGUAGACUUUUAUGACCAACGAAGUUCACAGGUGAUUAUUGCUGUUUCAAAUGGAUAUUCAAAGCAUCUCAAAAAAAAGAAAGAAAGAAAAGCCAAUAAGAAGAGUUGAUUGCACCUUCUGUAGCUAGGCACAUCCUCACAUAGUGCAAGUUAUCAUGGUGGACUGACUGGUCUGGCUGCAUGAGCCCAAGGAGCACUAUGACAGCAGCAGGAUUUUGUGCAAUUCCUAAAGUUGUCAGGUCAUAGCUUCUACACCUCAGGUCAUUUAGAUAGGGCUGUUAGUUAGCUGGAAUGUUACUAGGUACCUAGGCCAAAUGUUAUAUUGCAUCUGUUAAUGGUGGUUGGGUGGCUUUAUAAAUGUCAGCCGGUCAUCUCUUUGGAAUUAAGCAAAGAAUUAUCAGGAGAAACUUCCAUCUG